AACUUGUGACAAUGGAUCUCUUGGCUCUCGCGUCGAUGAAGAACGCAGCGAAAUGCGAUAAGUAAUGUGAAUUGCAGAAUUCAGUGAAUCAUCGAAUCUUUGAACGCACCUUGCGCUCCUUGGUAUUCCGAGGAGCAUGCCUGUUUGAGUGUCAUUAAUAUAUAUAUCAAACUUCUCUUGUUGAGUGGUUUGGAUGUGGGGGUUUGCUGGCUUGUUUCAGCUCCCCUGAAAUGCAUUAGCAGAACAACCCUGUUCAUUGGUGUGAUAACUAUCUACGCUAUUGAAUGUGAGGGGCAGUUCAGCUUUCUAACAGUCCUUGGACAAUUCAUCAUUAAUGUGACCUCAAAUCAGGUAGGACUACCCGCUGAACUUAAGCAUAUCAAUAAGCGGAGGCU
rnacentral:misc_RNA from 1 species